ACUCAAAUGAAUUGACGGGGACCCGCACAAGCGGUGGAUUAUGUGGAUUAAUUCGAUGCAACGCGAAAAACCUUACCUACCCUUGACAUGUCCGAGAGCCGGAAGAGAUUCCGGUGUGCCCGAAAGGGAAUCGGAACACAGGUGCUGCAUGGCUGUCGUCAGCUCGUGUCGUGAGAUGUUGGGUUAAGUCCCGCAACGAGCGCAACCCUUGUCAUUAGUUGCUACAUUCAGUUGGGCACUCUAAUGAGACUGCCGGUGACAAACCGGAGGAAGGUGGGGAUGACGUCAAGUCCUCAUGGCCCUUAUGGGUAGGGCUUCACACGUAAUACAAUGGCGCGUACAGAGGGUUGCCAAGGGGUGACCUGGAGCCAAUCCCGCAAAGCGCGUCGUAGUCCGGAUUGCAGUCUGCAACUCGACUGCAUGAAGUCGGAAUCGCUAGUAAUCGCGGAUCAGCAUGUCGCGGUGAAUACGUUCCCGGGUCUUGUACACACCGCCCGU
rnacentral:rRNA from 1 species